AUUAAGGGUCAGUUUGUGUUUGAUCAGUGCAUUAUUGGCCAAGAUAGACGGGAGCGGCGAGGCACACAUCAUUUUGUGCCGCGCCGCGUGCUGAUGGGCCUACCAGAGGUUGUCUAGGCAGGGUCCUUGCAGUCCCGCCCCAGCAGCGACUCCUAUGACACCGCCGUCGACAAGAUGGAGAAUCUGCAUUGUCUGGAGCAAAGACAUGAACACGAGGGUCUUCCCCAUGUACGUGGUGAGCUUCAAGUGCCAAACACUUGGAAAAGGAGUGGUUGAAUGGAGAGUUUGUCAGGGUCGGGCCUAAUCCCAAGUUUGUCCCAGUUGCUGGACUGUUCCAAGAACAGCAAGUCUCCAUGUAGGCAAUGCAAUCACCGACAACUACAAUGAAAACAUUGGCUUUGGGCGCAGUUGAGCAUUGGCGAGGAAAUGGGUUUCUCAUACUUCAUACUGCUACCGCUGUCCUCAGUGCCCCUGCGACUCUGUGCGCUGUCGGAGUACCUGGUUGGCUCCAGAAACAGAUGGGUAUGCUAGCAACCAUUGAAGGUUCAUACUUAAUACUGCUACCUGACAUAUCCUCCUUCCUACUGCUACAUACCUGUUGUUGUAAUUCUAAUUCUUGGCAAAAAAAUGCUUUAUUAUAUGGCAAAAACCAUGACAAUGGUUAUUGUUGGUGAUGUUAGCUCU